rfam:Candidatus Kaiserbacteria bacterium RIFCSPHIGHO2_01_FTLL_54_36b rifcsphigho2_01_scaffold_408, whole genome shotgun sequence.
GCCGAUGUAGCUCAGUUGGUAGAGCACGUUCUUGGUAAGAACGAGGUCUCCGGUUCAAUCCCGGACAUCGGCU